rnacentral:rRNA from 1 species
GUGGGGAAUAUUGGACAAUGGGGGGAACCCUGAUCCAGCCAUGCCGCGUGUGUGAAGAAGGCCUUUUGGUUGUAAAGCACUUUAAGCGAGGAGGAGGCUACCGAGAUUAAUACUCUUGGAUAGUGGACGUUACUCGCAGAAUAAGCACCGGCUAACUCUGUGCCAGCAGCCGCGGUAAUACAGAGGGUGCAAGCGUUAAUCGGAUUUACUGGGCGUAAAGCGCGCGUAGGUGGCCAAUUAAGUCAAAUGUGAAAUCCCCGAGCUUAACUUGGGAAUUGCAUUCGAUUCUGGUUGGCUAGAGUAUGGGAGAGGAUGGUAGAAUUCCAGGUGUAGCGGUGAAAUGCGUAGAGAUCUGGAGGAAUACCGAUGGCGAAGGCAGCCAUCUGGCCUAAUACUGACACUGAGGUGCGAAAGCAUGGGGAGCAAACAGGAUUAGAAACCCUGGUAGUCC